CUGGGGCUGCCCGCGGGCUGCAGGCCGCUCCCUGCUGGACCGCCCCCCGGGACGCCUCCUGCUGGAGCGAGGGGGCGCCGCAGCCGCAGUGGGGCUACUCCUAGUUCACUUAACUGGAACAGCCCAGUGGAAGCUCAACAGUGAUGGAUGAUGCAGAUUCAUUAAAGAGCUGGAAAGGGGUGCAUUCCGUAGGAGAAAUCCAAACUCAC
rnacentral:lncRNA from 1 species